UUUUGAAGUCAUAGACCACACCGGCAAUCCUGCGCAUUUGACCCAUGGUUGAAACAAAUCGGUCGCCCAGCAGUCGACAUGGUUUCCUGUCAAAGCCAAAGAAACCACCAAUGGCGGCCCAAAUUACAUUUUGCACUUCCAAAUCUAUCCAGUAAGCACCUACAAGACCUUCAACCAGCUAAAUGUCAUGGUGGAAGGGGAAGGAUGGAUGACUCGAGUCAUGAGAAACAUGGAGAAUCAAGUAGAUUUAUGGGGACCAAUGUCACCAGCUUGAAUCUCUUGAUGAUAUAAGCAACACUCAUUCCAUGAACUAAGUAUACUGACGACAUUAUUAAUCCAGGAACAAGGCAAAUAUUUGUAUCGUGCAACUGUCGAUCGGCAUAUGACCAAUGG